GUCGGGUUGGUGUAAUGGUAGCACGUGGGCUUGUGGACGUUGCUUUGCAGUAAUCUGACAGGUCGCCUUCAAUCUGGGUUCGAUUCCCAGACCCGACA